AAUAAGAACUCGGACCCAAUCUGAGCUUGCUAUAGCAAUACAGUCUAACCUAUUCCGGUGCCUGUCCUCUAUGAGACAAGCCGUUACAUAGACUUAGUGUUA
rnacentral:snoRNA from 1 species